AUUGAACGCUGGCGGCAUGCCUAACACAUGCAAGUCGAACGGCAGCGCGGGUAGCUUGCUACCUGGCGGCGAGUGGCGGACGGGUGAGUAAUGCAUAGGAAUCUGCCCAGUAGCGGGGGAUAGCCCGGGGAAACCCGGAUUAAUACCGCAUACGCCCUACGGGGGAAAGCAGGGGAUCUUCGGACCUUGCACUAUUGGAUGAGCCUAUGUCUGAUUAGCUUGUUGGUAGGGUAACGGCCUACCAAGGCGACGAUCAGUAGCUGGUCUGAGAGGACGAUCAGCCACACCGGAACUGAGACACGGUCCGGACUCCUACGGGAGGCAGCAGUGGGGAAUAUUGGACAAUGGGGGAAACCCUGAUCCAGCAAUGCCGCGUGUGUGAAGAAGGCCUGCGGGUUGUAAAGCACUUUCAGUUGGGAGAAACAGCAGCCGGCUAAUAUCCGGUUGUCUUGACGUAACCAACAGAAGAAGCACCGGCUAACUCCGUGCCAGCAGCCG
rnacentral:rRNA from 1 species